rnacentral:lncRNA from 1 species
GGUGGGAGCUUAAGUAGCAGUUGAUCCUGAUCCAAUUCCCGAUGCAUGGUUUCUUCAUAUUGACUUUUCGAUGUUGCUCUCUUGGUAAUAUAGGUUUGUCUCUUUCCCAUCUCUAGUGACAAAUUUUCAAUAAAGGUAGGAUCAAAAUCUUAUGUUAGAAAGAAUAAUACAAAAUAUAUUAAAUAUUUAAAAGUUUUAAAUAGAAUAUAUUUUGAUUAUUUUUAUCUGUUAAGUUGCCUCCUUGGAUGUUAAAAGACUACGAAAAUUAUAAACAAUCUAAUAUUCUGAAUUGGAAUGACCUUGAGGACUCCUUCAUACUGUUUGUAGAAGUAGGCAACUACUUGAGUACGCCCACCAUCUGAAUAAUUUUAUGAUCUUCAAGUACCCUUAUUUCUGGUACGUGGCCCCGUCACGUGAUUUCUCUAAGUGUACGACAAAGGAGAAACAUCCACAUAUGGUUGUGAGUUGCAAUAGCAACCUUGAUCUCCAGGAUCUGAGGUACAUUGUUUUCCACUGCAAAUUCCCAUGAAUCUGAUCAUGCAUGUGGAACCCAUUAAGAUCACGUAUCCUACCCAAUCAAAUUCAUAUAUUUUUUUUUGAAGAGAAUAUAUUUUAGAAAAUAAAAACAAAAAAAAGGGUUGCAUGAUAAUAAGAAGUGAGAAUUUUCUUCUAAAUUUUGUUGAUGCCAUUUUAGACUUCAUUGGUGCAAUUUGUCCACUGCCUCUCCAACCUUAUCUUUGCUAGAUGACUUAUCUACUUUCCUCAACAUAGGCUUACAGGUAAAAAUCAACAAAAUCCCCUCAAUACAAUCCUAGACCAAAAAAGAAAGAAAGAGAAUUUCCGAACCUGGAUUGGCUUAAGCAUAUACAACUUUGCAAUGUACAAUUUAAAAGGAAAAAAAAUUAAAAGAAAAUAAAAUAACCUCACCACCCUUAGACCAAUAAGGUUGAUCGACACCAGAGAAAAGAAAAGGAUGUGGAGAGAGUUUGAUCACAUUAACUGAUUGUCUAUAAACACACUCAAUCAUGAAAGAGUUGAAUAUCGACACAGCAGUGUCGAGGACAAAGUCAGUAUAGUUACACUAACCUGGAAUUCUUCAUUGACUCCUUCAACUCCAUCUUUGUUUUUUACUUGGAACCUUCUUUUACCCAGAAGAAGAUGAAGAAGAACGAAUAGAAAAGAAGGUAUUUGGAUGAAGAGUCUGGUUAAUAAAAAAAGGCUAAAAAUGGAAUUGAAGUGUAGCUACACUUACUCAUGGUGAGUUGAAGGACUGUCAUGAUAAAAAUAAGAAAGAAAUCAACUUGACACGACACAAUCUAGAAACGGAAGAUACGGUGAUGAAGACACAGUGGUUGGAGAAAGUCGCGGAGUAAGAGUAGGAAGUAGGGUUAUGUAGAGACAUGGAUUAGAGAGGUUGAGGUUCAUAAAUUUGUAGCAAUGCGUGUGUCGGCCUAUGUAUACGGGCUAUAAACCAUUCCUGACUCAAGUGGUAG